rnacentral:lncRNA from 10 species
UUUUUGGGACCUUUCUUGGGCAGAUGGAGGAAGCUUUAAUACUUAUUGGUCCCAGAAGUUACUUUGUUUCUUGAGAGGCAAGAGCUUAAAAGCUUGCAGGCUCUACAAUUAGAUUGCCUGUUGAAGUCCUGGCUGUGUGAACUGUGUACCUCGGUUUGCUCCUCUGUAAAAUGGGGAUGAUAUGGUUUCGCUCUGUCACCACCCAAAUCUCAUCUUGAAUUCCCACGUGUUGUGGGAGGGACCCAGUGGGAGGUAAUUGAAUCAUCGGGGCAGGCCUUUCCCAUGCUGUUCUCAUGAUAGUGAAUAAGUCUCAUGAGAUCUGAUGGCUUUAUAAGGGGGAGCGUCCCUGCACAAGCUCUCUCUCUGCCUGCUGCCAUCCAUGUAAGAUGUGACUGGCUCCUCCUUCCACCAUGAUUGUGAGGCCUCCCCAGCCAUGUGGAACUGUAAAUCCAUUAAACCUCUUUCUUUUGUAAAUUACCCAUUCUCGGGUAUGUCUUUAUCAGCAGCAUGAAAAUGGACUAAUACAGGGGAUAAGAAUAAUAUUUACCUCAUAAGGUUAUUGAAAAGAUAAAAUGAGUUGAUACACGUAAAAAGUUAUAGAGCAGUGACUGGUAUAAUGUAAGCCCUCAAAAAUGUGAUGGUCAUUAUUAUUAAUGUCAUAUUUUGGCAUUUCUCCCCUUUAUUAUGUUUCAUGAGUUUCUUGUAGCUGAUAUUGUGAGUUUUGCAUUUUAAAAAGUGUUUUGAUUUUAGAUUUAAAAUUAUUUCUUUUUAGAUAUAAUUUUCAUGCCACAAAUGUCACCCAUUUAAAAUGCACAUUUCACUGGUUUUUAGUAUAUUUAUAGUUGUGCAACCAUCACCACAUUAUAAUCUUAGAACUUUUCAACACUGUCAAAAGGGACCCCGUAUCCAUUAGCAGUCAUUCCUCUUUCUCCUUCUCUCCACUCCUGCUCCAGGCAACCUCUACUCUACUUUCUGCCUUAAUGGAUUUGCCUAUUCUGGACAUUUCAUGUACAUGAAAUUAUAUAUUAUGUGACUCUUUUUGUCUGGCUUCUUCCACUUAGCAUAAUAUUUUCAGGGUUCACCCAUGUUGUAGCAUGUAUCACUGUUUUAUUCUUUCCUAUCGCCAAAUAAGAUUCCAUCUGAAUAACAUUCCAUUAUGUGGACAUACUACAUUUUGUUUAUCCAUUUAUCGGUGGAUAGGCCCUAAUAAAUGAUUGUCGUUUCCACUUAGGGCUACUGUAAAUAAUGCUGCUAUGAACAUUCAUGUACAAGUUGUUGUGUGGACAUGUUUUUAUUUCUCUUAGGUAUAAGCUUAGCAGUGGAAUUCCUGGAUCACAUGGUAACUCAUGUUUAACAUUUUGAGGAACUGCCCAGCUGUUCUCCAAAGUGGCUACAUCAUUUACAUUCCCACCAGCAAUGAAUGAGGCUUCCAGUUUUUCCACAUCACAUUGUGGAAAAUGGUUAAUUGUAUGUAUCAUCUUGCCUGGGAUACAGGGUGCCCAGAUAAAACAUUAUUUCUGGGGGUGUCUGUGAGCGAGUUUCCAGAUGAGAUUAGUAUUUGAAUCCAUGGACUGGGUAAAGCAGAUUGCCCUCCCCAGUGUUGGUGGCCACUAUUCAAUCCAUUGCGAGCCCGGGUAGGAUAAAAUGUAGAAGAAAGGGGAAUUCAUUCUUUGAGCUGGGACAUCAUCAGUUUCCUGCCCUCUAUUGGCCCUCUGGUUCUCAGAACUGCACCACUGGCUUUUCUGGUCUCCAACUUACAGACAGCAGCUCAUGGGCUUCUCAGCCUCUAAUUCUUUAUAAUAAAUCAUAUGUAUAUACAGUUGACCCUUGAGCAAUGCAGGGAUUGGGGUGCUGAUCCCCUAUGCAGUCAAAAAUCCACAUAUAACUCUUUUGGCUUCUUCAAAACUGAUUUACUAAUAGGCUUCUGUUGACCACAAGCCUCACCUAUAACAUAAAUGGCCAAUUAACACAUAUUUUGUAAGUUCUAUGUAUUACAGGCUGUAUUCUUACAAUAGAUUAAGCAAGAAAAAAUGGGGUUUUUCCAUUUGUCACAUAUCUCCAAAAUUUUUUCCAAUAUAUUUAUUGAAAGAAAAACAUAUAGAAGUGGACGUGUACAGUUCAAACCCAUGCUGUUUAAGGAUCAAUGGUAUAUAUAUCCUAUUGGUUCUGUUUCCAUGGAGAACCCUAACACACUCACUAACACUUGUUAUGGUAAUAUUAACAUUUUAUAGUUCUUUUUCUUUCUGUUUUUGAAGCUCUGUAAUAAUUUUUAUUUCCUCCACCUAGGUUCAUAUUCACACACAAAAUAUGAGAGGACACUCAAGUAUAAUAUUUGCAUUGUAGGGUUUUAUUAUAUCAUGGAACUUCUGGAAUGGAAGGACCUUUUAUAGCCAUCCUAGUCAGUGUUGAGUACAGUCAUCUCUCAGUAUCUGAGGAGCAUUUGUUCCAGGACCUACCCACAAAUACCAAAAUUUAACAGAAGCUGAAGUCACUUAUGCAAAAUGGCAUAGUAUUUGCAUUAGGUUAGUACAAAAGUAAUUGUGGUUUUUGCCAUUACCAAUCUAAUAAAUAACCUACUGUAUUAGUCCAGUCUUAUAUUGCUAUAAAGAAAUACCUGAGAACUUGGUAAUUUAUAAAGAAAAGAGGUUUACUCAGCUCAUAGUUCUGCAGAUGGUACAGGAAGCAUUAUGCUGGCAUCUGCUCAGCUUCUUGGGAAGCCUCAGGAAACUUACAAUCAUGGUGGAAGCCUGAGGGGGAGCAUGCACAUCAUGGCAGGAGUAGGGGCAAGUGGGGGAGGUGUCACACACUUGUAAAUGACCAGAACUCAUGAGAACUCACUCACUGUCAUCAGAACAGCACCAAGGCAGUGGUGCUAAAUAAUUCAUGAGAAAUCCACCACUAUGAGCCAAUUACUCCCACAAGGCUCCACCUCCAACAUUGGGGAUUACAACAGAACAUGAGAUUUGGGAGGGGACAUAGAUCCAAACCAUAUCACCUACGUACAACCUCCUGUGUACUGUACUUUAAGUCAUCUCUAGAUUACUUAUAGUAGUACCUAAUACAGUGUAAAUGCUAUGUAAAUAGUUUGCACUGUAUUGUUUUUAUUUGUUUUAUUUUUAUUGUUGUAUUGUUAUUCUUUAUUGUUUUGGUUUUUUUCAAAUAUUUUCAAUCUGUGAUUGGUUGAAUCUGCAGAUGCAGAACCUGCAGAUGAGAGGGCCAACUGUAGUAAGUCAUUGUGCUUUUGAUUUGUAUUUCCUCAUGACUAAAUACGUGGAGAAUGUUAGCAUGUGCUUCUUAGCCAUUCUGUAUCUUCUUCAGAUAAAUGUCUAUUCAAAUCCUUUGCCUGCUUUUUAAUUGAGUUAUUUGACUUUUGUUAUUGAGUUAUAAGAGUUCUUUAUAUCUUGUGGAUAUAUGCCAAUAUAUGUCUUAAAAAUAUAUUCUGCAAUCCCAGCACUUUGGGAGGCUGAAGCAGAAGGAUCGCUUGAGCCUAGGAGUUUGAGACCAGCCUGGGAAACAUAGAGAGACACCAUCUCUACAAAAAAUUUAAAAUAUAGCUAGGCAUGGUGGUGUGCACCUGUGGUCCCAGCUACUUAGGAGGCUAAAGUUGGAGGCUGGCUUGAGCCCAGGAGGUCAAGGCUGCAGUGAGCGGUAAUCAAACCACUGUGCUGUAGCCUGGGUGACACAGUGAGACUCUGUCUCUAAAGAAAUAAAAAAUGAAAAUAGUUUCUCCCAUUCUUUAGAUUGCUUUUUUACUUUGUUGAUGGCAUACUUUGAUACACAAAGGCAUUUUUAUUUUGAUGCAGUCCAAUCUAUUUUUUCUUUUAUCACUUUCACCAUUCACCGUGCUGUUAACUGUGGUUGUGUCAUGGAUACCCUUUGUUAGGUUGAGGAAGUUUCCUUAUACUCCUAGUUUUUAAAUUAUUUUCACCAUGAAAGCAUGUUGGAUUUUUGCCAAAUGCAUUUUCUGUGUUCAUGAGAUGAUUAUGAGGUCUUUGCCCUUUAUUCUAUUAGGAGGGAGUAUUACAUUGAUUGAGUUUGGGUAAGUCUAUUUUGCAUUUCUGGGAUAAACAUCACUUGGUUUCCCUGUGAAAUCCUUUUGUAUGUUGCUGGAUAUAGUUUACUAGUAUUUUGUUGAGA